CAGGAUUAACUUUCACAAAUGUCAGCUGAAAGGAAACAAACAAUGCUUUCUUGUGUAAAAUUAUAUUGCAUGUAUAGCUCAAGUCAUCUUCUAGUGCAUGCUUGUUUCUGUAGACGGAAAGACCUCCAUUCCCUAGCUGUAUGCACCAACCCACUAACAGAGGUGUAAUGUUCAGUAGCUUUAUUCCCUUCUCUACUUGCUACUUUGUCGGUAACAAAAUGGACUAAAAAUCAUGGAGGACA
rnacentral:lncRNA from 1 species